rnacentral:rRNA from 1 species
AACGAACGCUGGCGGCAGGCUUAACACAUGCAAGUCGAACGCCCCGCAAGGGCAUUGGCAGGCGGGUGAGUAACGCGUGGGAACAUACCCUUUCCUGCGGCCUACCCUCGGGAAACUGGAAUUAAUACCGCAUACGCCCUACUGGGGAAAGGUUUAUCGGGGUAGGAUUGGCCCGCGUUGGAUUAGCUGGGGGGUGGGGUAAAGGCCUGCCAAGGCGACGAUCCAUAGCUGGGCUGAGUGGAGGAUAAGUCACGUUGGGACUGAGACACGGCCCAAACUGCGACGCGGGGCAGCAGUGGGGAAUAUUAGACGAGGAGCGCAAGUCUAGUCAAGCCGUGCGGGGGGAGUGAUGCAGGCGUUAGGAUUGUAAAGCUGUUUGUGCGAUGGAGAUAAUGACGGUAGUCGGAGAAGAAGCCCCGGCUAACUUCGUG